AACAGCCGUAUACCGAACGGUACGUACGGUGGUGUGAGAGGUCGGGGGAAUUAUAUUUCCCCUCCUACUCGAU
rnacentral:ncRNA from 1 species